AACCCCUGUCAGCCUGCCGGGGGACGCGGUGCCCGCCCUCCGGCAUCCGGGAAACAGCGUCCCAGCCGGCGCCUGCGCAGGUGCCACACUUCCUGGUCCUCUCUGGCUGCUUCUGAGGGCCUUGGCUCUGGCCGGGGGCGCUGCAACGGGCUCAGCCUUCUAGGGGUGGCGGGUGAAGGCCUACACCUGCCCCAGGACGGCCAGGUCCACCAGCACCUGCAACAGACGGAGAACUGAAGGAGCAUCUUGAAGCUGUGGCUGUCUUGAAGGUGUCGCCGCUUGUCCUCACGAGCACCAUUUUGAUUCUCGUGCCCUGUGUGCAUGGGUGGCCAGCGUUGCUGGUAGGGCUCCUGCACGCUCAGAGUGGCCUUGGCCAGGAAGUCCGGGGUUUCCGCAGGCAGAGUGGAUGAACAAGGUACUGAGAAGAUCACAUACUGCAUGUCCUCCUAAAACCUGGUCCUGGCAUAACCUUCUAAGCUGUUUUAUUCAGAUUACAAUAAAUCAUGCCAUUCACACAAGUUCUUACAGGGAUUUAAUUGCAUCUUUGAAAGGUUUGGCAGAUACAUCAAGCCAGUUCAUUAAUGCACAGAUGAUUCCUUCACAUUAAGAAAGACACGUUGGAGCACCAUAAAUGUCAAGGCAGUUAUUACGCACAAAAAGCAUAAAAUGGCAACCAUCAAAAGGUGAGCCCUUAUUCAGUUGAGAUCAAAAAUAAAACUGCAGUAACUCCUUUGUGUAAUAA
rnacentral:lncRNA from 1 species